CUUAGGAGUGCCUCAGAGACCGCGAGGACCCCGCGGAUGGCCGAAGGACCCAGAGUUGCGUGGCGAAUAGUUCCACGUGACCGCCCGGGGUGGCCAAAGAAUGGGAACAGCCUAAGAUACCAUCCUUCAAGCAGUUGGAGACUUGAGCUGCCUGAAGCUCCUGUUGUACCCUGUCACUGUCCAGGACUUCAGUCCCUAGCCAGCAAUGGACUGAGAAUUUGGAUUCCAAGAGAUUUUUGCCUAAUUGCCCAGGAUAUUUAGUAAGAAUACCAAUUACUCUGCAUCUGGAUCAAUUUAGACUUUGUUUCUAGCCCAUUGUUUUGCAAAGAAUAAAGAAGGAAUCUGGUUCCUAGAACCUUUGCAACAGUUCCAAUUCUAUUAAUAGCACCAUCUGUAGACUGUGAGCAGGUCCAACUUUGGAAGUGGACAAGGUAAAGCCAACCUGGGAAGCCAUUUUUUCAGAUCUGGGGU